GAGAGUGUAAAAGUUUCCUUAUUGAAACCAUUGAUGGUCCUGAGACACCUGUACCAUAUAUACCAUAUGGUGUAGAUCGUGAAGAUAAACCCGAUGCAUAUGUACCAAGUACAGUUGCAUAUGUACCAAGUAAAGAUGCAUAUGUACCAAGUACAGUUGCAUAUGUACCAAAUGCAGAGGUUUCAACCCAAGCUCCAAAAGCGUUUCAUAGACACAGAUAGAUAGUAACAUUCUACAUGGUGAUUUCUAUACUUACAGUGAGUGAAGAUGAUUAUUUCUUUAAACAAUAUUGAUCGAAUACUGUAGAGGAUGGAAAUCCCCGAAAGAGGAUUAUAAAAUCCGCAAAUCAGUAGAAACAGAUAAGACCUACUCAUCUUCCUCUCCUUUAAGGCACUUUGUAUUCAUAAUGUAUUUCUAUCUGAAAGCAAUAAAUAAUCUUCUAAAAUAUAUAAUUAUGAAAUA